rnacentral:rRNA from 1 species
GGGUUCGAUUCCGGAGAGGGAGCCUGAGAGAUGGCUACCACUUCUAAGGAAGGCAGCAGGCGCGCAAAUUACCCUAAUCUCGAUUCGAGGAGGUAGUGACAAGAAAUACCGAUGCGGGACCCUACGGGUGCCGCGUUCGGAAUGAGUACGAUUCGAACCACCUAACGAGGAACGAUCGGAGGGCAAGUCUGGUGCCAGCAGCA